GGCCUUGUGACGGAAUUGGCAAACGUGACGGUCUCAAAAACCGUUGUCCAAAAGGGCUUGUUGGUUCGAAUCCAACCAGGGCCA
rnacentral:tRNA from 1 species